rnacentral:tRNA from 1 species
GGCCAGAUAGUCUAGUGGUAAAUGACAACUUGGUAAAAUAUCCAGCUAGUUCUAAAACGCAUAUCAAGUAGGCGGGGGUUCGAUUCCCUCUCUGGCCA